UACGUAGGUGGCAAGCGUUGUCCGGAUUUAUUGGGUUUAAAGGGUGCGUAGGUGGUCCCAUAAGUCAGUGCUGAAAUAUCCCGGCUUAACCGGGAGGGUGGCAUUGAUACUGCGGGACUUGAGUAAAGUUGAGGUAGGCGGAAUUGACGGUGUAGCGGUGAAAUGCUUAGAUAUCGUCAAGAACACCUAUUGCGAAGGCAGCUUACUAAGCUUUAACUGACGCUGAGGCACGAAAGUGUGGGGAUCAAACAGG
rnacentral:rRNA from 1 species